UGCAGUCGAGCGGAUGAAGGGAGCUUGCUCCUGGAUUCAUCGGCGGACGGGUGAGUAAUGCCUAGGAAUCUGCCUGGUAGUGGGGGAUAACGUCCGGAAACGGGCGCUAAUACCGCAUACGUCCUGAGGGAGAAAGUGGGGGAUCUUCGGACCUCACGCUAUCGGAUGAGCCUAGGUCGGAUUAGCUAGUUGGUGGGGUAACGGCCUACCAAGGCGACGAUCCGUAACUGGUCUGAGAGGAUGAUCAGUCACACUGGAACUGAGACACGGACCAGACUCCUACGGGAGGCAGCAGUGGGGAAUAUUGGACAAUGGGCGAAAGCCUGAUCCAGCCAUGCCGCGUGUGUGAAGAAGGUCUUCGGAUUGUAAAGCACUUUAAGUUGGGAGGAAGGGCAGUAAGUUAAUACCUUGCUGUUUUGACGUUACCAACAGAAUAAGCACCGGCUAACUUCGUGCCAGCAGCCGCGGUAAUACGAAGGGUGCAAGCGUUAAUCGGAAUUACUGGGCGUAAAGCGCGCGUAGGUGGUUCAGCAAGUUGGAUGUGAAAUCCCCGGGCUCAACCUGGGAACUGCAUCCAAAACUACUGAGCUAGAGUACGGUAGAGGGUGGUGGAAUUUCCUGUGUAGCGGUGAAAUGCGUAGAUAUAGGAAGGAACACCAGUGGCGAAGGCGACCACCUGGACUGAUACUGACACUGACGGUGCGAAAGCGUGGGGAGCAAACAGGAUUAGAUACCCUG
rnacentral:rRNA from 1 species